rnacentral:lncRNA from 1 species
CUUUGGAGAGCAAAAGCAAAAGAUUAACUAACUGCUCACAUGGGUCCCAGGAAAAUACAAAAGCACUACUGUUUAACAGGAAAGUUACUAUCCAGAAAUUAACCCACAAAGGUGGGAAGAGUAUUUACCCGCUAAUCUCUUUAUUCCCUCGCCUGACAAAAUAUCUGCAUUCCUGGGCGGCCUCAAGAAAUGAACUACAGACAUCUAUUCCCUUUGUGAUACCUCCUUGGAAUCAAAGUGUGGAGUGUAACAAUGUGCCUCCACACACUCACACUAGUUGAUGCUUCAUCUUGGUGAAAUCAAGUUUUUGGAAUUACCUUUCCUAAGAUCAUUCUAUUCACAGAGAAGGAGCUUAAUGAAACUAUGGUGGAUGUAUUCUAGACAGAAGAAGGAUUAAACCAAGAUAAAAACAAUGUGAAUGAGGAAAGUGGGAGUAACAGGGAUUCCAAGAGAAAGAAGGAGAACUGGUAAUUGAUGUGGGGCCAAACAGCACAGUACAGCAGAAAGGAUCUAAAUUUGGGAAUUAUA